UGUUGAUUAUUGAAGACUUGAAGACAUGAAGGAAAAUUUGGGUUCAUUUCUUUGGGUGAUGAAUGUUGCCAUCGAUUCAAUUCAUAACUGGUGUGAAGCAUACUCAACCUACCCGCGUGCAUACAAUCUUCUCCUUGCUAGCAACUGUUCUCAUACAUAAUUGAAAGGAAAGGUUGCAGUGGUGAAGAUUUGUUGAUCUAGAUUGAUUGUAUUCCUUAGCCCACGAGCUUCCUAAUUGUUCGGGACAACAAGCCUGUUAUAAACUUCGUGAAGAAAUACAUAGCUGCGAUACACUUUGGAAACUGUAGCGAUGACAGAUUCAACAUCAGAAUUAGGUGGAGAUGAUGUUGUGCUUAUAGUCCAAAAGAAAUUAUGGCUUACAAGUGAACUAUUUUCUAUUCUUAUAUGUGUACAAGUGAAAUUGUGGCUUCGCAUCAGAUUGCGACUUUAGUUUUUUCUCAUGAUUUACUUGAUUUAUUUUUUUGAUAUACAUUUACGUGUACAAACUCCUAUUUUCUAUUCUUAUAUGUGUAUCAUUUUAGUUGGAUUUAAUUUAAAUGAUUAAUCUAAAUAUGC
rnacentral:lncRNA from 1 species